GACGAACGCUGGCGGCGUGCUUAACACAUGCAAGUCGAACGGAAAGGCCCUGCUUUUGUGGGGUGCUCGAGUGGCGAACGGGUGAGUAACACGUGAGUAACCUGUACUUGACUUUGGGAUAACUUCAGGAAAAUGGGGCUAAUACCGGAUAGGAGCUCCUGCUGCAUGGUGGGGAUUGGAAAGUUUCGGCGGUUGGGGAUGGACUCGCGGCUUAUCAGCUUGUUGGUGGGGUAGUGGAUUACCAAGGCUUUGACGGGUAGCCGGCCUGGGAGGGUGACCGGCCACAUUGGGACUGAGAUACGGCCCAGACUCCUACGGGAGGCAGCAGUGGGGAAUAUUGCGCAGUGGGCGGAAGCCUGAUGCAGCAACGCCGCGUGCGGGAUGACGGCCUUCGGGUUGUAAACCGCUUUCGCCUGUGACGAAGCGUGAGUGACGGUAAUUAGUAAAGAAGCACCGGCUAACUACGUG
rnacentral:rRNA from 1 species